UGUAACCUCCCGCCCCUCACCCCACCAGCAAUGGUCAGGCUGCGUUUAUUUCCAUUGGGCAAGCUCCAGAAAGCACCAGGAGGUGAAAAACAAUCCCCAGAAAUGUGAAAAAUGUGGAAUGAAAUGGGGGCGGCAGGAGGAAGAGUGUGGGGAGAGAAGAUCGAGCAACCAAUAGCAAUGUGAUGGGUACAAUUUCAGCUCUUUUGCUGGUUUCAGGGCUGAGAUAAGAAAGCAGGAUGCGUGCUGAAGCCCAAGAUGUGCUUGCUGAAAAGGCAGUGAAGGGAAUCCCUGCUCCCAGCUCCUCUUGCUAUAGGUGGGAUCCUUGCACUUGCAAAGCUGGAACAGCCACGCUAAAGCUAAAAUGCAAAGGGGCUCAUGUCACCAAAGCCAUCUUUGUACUGUUCUGUGCAGUCAGGGCGUAACGAGACCAAAGCUGGCCUUGGACACACAAGGCAGUGGCUGUCCUAGGCUGCUGGGAAGACGUGAGGAGAAUCGGUAGGAGGCAGCAACAAAUCUGAAGACACAAGAUUAAGCGUGAGAAGCCCAGAGGAGAUGUCAGAAAAACAAACAAUGAACAGACCAAACAAUCCAUUUGGGCCAGAUGCUCAGUUGGUGUGAAGUGGUGCAGUGCCAUUGGAUUUGCUACAGCCAGGUGGGCUCCUGCCAGUGAUGUCACGGCAAGCCGGGAUUGGCCAGGAACUGGGUCAGGAUGAAGUGGGAUGAAGCAAACAAAACUUGAAGUCUGUGAGUGAAGGUCCCCUCCUGGCCCAUGGCGAUGCUCUCACCUUCUCUCCUGCCACAGCGCCGUUCAACCAGGUUCUCAGCAGCCACAGCGCUGUGCCAGGGCUGGAUAUGCCUGCAACCCCAGCUUGGUGAGUACGUCUGGGAAUAAUGAUAUUUAUUGCAUAGUAACACACUCUGAGCACUUCUCAAUCUAGUGACUCACAGGAACAUUUUCAUCUCGUCCACUUUCCAGUAACAGAAUGAGUUGUUGCAUUGAUUGUGUAUUUAGCAAGCUCGGAAACAGAGACACAGCUGAUGGGGGCGUGAGGUGUUCCUUCACCGUGAGCCAAAAGGGGAGACAAUGUUUAUCUGUCCAGCAUGGGUGGAAGAUGCAAUGAAUCAAGAGAACCCCUGCGGCUCACUGGUUCUCACGCCCUCGGUCUCCCUGCAUGUCCAGCAAGGAAGGUGGAUUCACAUUUGUCAGUGUCUGGUGCUUCAGCGUGCAGAGAGAAGGGGUUUCAUCUCGCAUGAUGAAUUGGUGUUUAAGCCCACAGAGAGAGACUGUGGGCUUGGCACGGCGCUGACAAGAUGUCCAACAAGGCAAGUGGUGCUCCUGAUGGGUGUGUAAUCACAGUGCAGUUUCUCAAGGAAAGCAACAGUUUUCAACCAUGAGGACUGGAGGGUAUGCUCGGAAAGUCUGAGGUCCGUCAGGAUUGUUCGACUAGGUCUUGGCAAGAGUUAGCUCUACUUCAGAUUCAGCUUCAGGCUUUAUCUGGACAUGUGACAUGGUUUGGUCACUUAAACCUUGGAUGGCAGCAACACUUGCAGAAAAACAGCCACAUCUGCACUUGUAAAAGUGUGAGAUCGCUGGAUGAAUGCUUUCCAGGCUCUAUGAGCUGCCCGGAGUGUCUGCAGCUAGCAGCUCCAGGUUUGAGCUGUGGAAUAACCCAGGUUUUAAGCCAAGUGACAGCAUCUUCAAUGCUAUUUCAACCUGCUGUUAAAUCAUUUAGUAGUUUCAGCGUGUAUGAGUCCUCUGGGCCCUGGACAGCCAUGGACAUCACAAGGUACCCUUACCCACUUUUUCUGUACAGAUGCCUACAUUUUGCCAUUUCAAAAUCUUGCUUUGAAAGGUACUAGGAAUGCUGCAAAUAUCACAAUGGGAAGAACAUAUGAAACUCAAGAGUAGCAGAGAACCGAGGCAGAGGACACAGCAUUGGGGAAGUGCUGGCAGUGCUGCAAACCACCGCAGGUAAUCUCACAAAUGCACACCGCAAGAUUUCUCCGUUUCCUCUGAGGCUGCUUGUGUCAGCCAUGAAAUAGAGAAAAUAUCUCACUGGAUUGACUUAAGUUCCCACUGGGUCUGGCAAUCUGUUUUGGUUUUUUUUUUUUUCUCAAGGGAGGAAAAAAAAAGAACACUCAGACACACAUACAACGUGAAGUAUUUUCCUCUUCAAGAGCCCUUCCUCGCUAUUCAACGCCUUCUUUAAAGAAUGGUGCAGAAGUCAAGCAGAGCUGUGCAUCAUCCAGAAGGCAUGCAGCACUCAGCCGUGACGCUCAAGGAUUCCUAGAAGCCAGUGCUGCACAGGGAGAGCUAAAGCAGGGGACUCUGCAGCAAGCGUGCAGACAAUCCUCCCAUCCGGGGAAGCGGGGCUUGGAAACAACACUGGGGGUUUGCAAUCUGGCCGUGCACGCCUUCCACUUGGAGCAAGCAGUGUCAAGGAGAAUUAGUGAGAUGACUGGAGACUUAGACUGGGAAGCAACUGCUGUUCGUAAGCCGGCUGUGACUACUCAGCCUUGCUAAUCAGAUUUGAGAAGAUGCUCCACUGCCUCAUGCUGAACAGUGCUUGUUGCGUGUUUUGCUAACAGUGCUGUGCUGGGGGGCUCUGUAUUUCAGUGAGGAAGGAAAAGGUUCCCCUGGGGAGACUAAUUUAAUGUCCAGAUAACUGAUUUUGCCAGCAGAGUGGGGAAAAGGCCGUUUGGAAACCUGUACAGCUCGGGCAUGGCUCUGAUACGCACUCUGUAGAUCAUUUAAAGUAAGCAAGGCAGGACCAAAUGCUCUUCAGAGCACCAGUUGUGAGCACUGAGGUUACCAAAAUUCAGCCUAACCCGAACCGAUUCACUGGCUGGAGAUGACCUGACAACGUGCCCACCUUCCCAGGCAGCUGCAGCCUGCCCUGACACGGGAUUCACAGAGGCUUGGUCACCCUGAGCCUCGGCGUGUCAGUGCCAAAAGGAAAAGCAACUGCAUCCAGUCCCAGCGUGGCAGAUUCAUUGCUGCUCGGCCAAUCCAGCUUGUUCAGCCCCUACACCGAAGCUUACUUUAGAGCUGUGGCGCUGGAUAUUGCGGAGCAAUAUUUGAGACAAGGGAAAGGGGAUUCUUUUGCACAGGAUUGAAAUCUUACUUAGUAAAGGAUUGUGUGGUUUUGCACAAUUUGCUUGAUACCAAUUCCUGUGAAGAAUAAAAGUUUACUUCCAUUUCCCAGUGCUCUAUUAAGGCAGCUUCCGUUCGCGCUGCCUGUGCUCUCGGCUGUGCUGUAUAUGGCAUUUCUAUUUUUAGAAACCAGGGUUGCCAUGACAACUCAGUGUAUUUUUUGUUAAAUAUAGCAGCUGUUGCAGGGAACUCUUGUCCUUCUAGAUGUAAAGGCUGUGUUUUUGCCCUCUAACAGAGCUCAGGGUAUUAAAUGCAGAUGAGAAAGGAAGAUUAAAUAAGUGUAAGCCCAGAAGAAACCAUGGAUCUGUAAUUACACGAGGGGUUUUGAAUGAAGCUCUGCGUGUCUGCUGCUUCAGAAGCAGCCCUUCUGCAUUAGAAAUGGUGUGGGGACAGGGAUGUGGGGCUUUGAGGUGGGGGCUUUAGGCUCCACGAGACCAUUCAUCCCCUCUCUCUGCUUGCUGUCCGGUCUGCCUGCCUUGCUCCAGUUCUGGUCUCUGCCCCUUCCAGGAGACAGUCUGGUCCUGGCUGUGCUCUCCAGGACUUGUUCUGCCUGGGAAGAGAUGUGAGGGGUGCCAAAUAGGUCUUGCCAUCAGAUAAUCCCUAUCCUGUUUUUGGAAAAGCAAGUUUAACCUCCUACCCACGCCUAAGGAGCUUGAAGACAAGGGUUGUGCCACAGGGUUGGGGUCUGGAGCUGCCUCUCCUGUUUGGUGAUGGAGACCUCACUGGAAGAGCUGCCAAUGCACUGGUGGUCCUGUCUCUGGGGCUGGCCCAGGUUCACAGCGUGAAAGCUCUACAGAACCUUACUGCACCCCAGAGCUUCACUGUUUGAUGGAAAAUAAACUGGUUCUGUUUCUUUUCUUUGUUAUUUGUUUAUCUGUUAACUCCAGAGGGAAGCAGCAGUGAAGUAUUUCACUCCUGUUUCAAUUUGGCUUUAUCAGUUCUUUACUGUAUCCCUGUACGGUGCAAAUACAUCCCCUCAAAGGGCUGUUUUUCAUCUCCUGAGAGGAGGGAGAAGAAGCGGGAGCUCUCCUUCUGCUGGGUUCAUUUUGUGGUUGGCACUUUGCCUUCCCAUUUCAGUGGGAGCUUCCAAAUUCAGUGAGCUCUGAGGGGCAUUUGCGAGUCUCUGUCAGCACAGCCUCUGCUUUGCAUUUCCAUUUCAGGUCUCGUUGCGCCCAGGCAGCUGCAGGAGCAGCUCUGUGCACAGAGCGGGGAGCACUAUCGCUUGGGCCAAGGGCGAUGUGUCAGCUGGGAGAUGGAGAUCUUGUUUUAAUUAACUGGUCUUUGCCUCGUUAAAUGAAAAAAGGGAACAUGGUGAACAGUAGAUACCCAGCAGGGCUUACGGUCUUUGAAAGUUUCUUUUAAAAGCGGAUGCAACAACAAAUAAAUAAAAAAACAGAGUUAAACCAGCCUGAUUUUAAAAUAUCCACGGAGGUCACUGUGACCAAGACUUUGAACAAGAAUAACAAAUCUCUGGGGUUCUUAUCUGUUCCCUGAGCUAUCGUGAGCAGCAUCUAUUGCUGGAGAUGUUAUUGCUUUUCUGAAUUUAAUAGCAUAAACGUUGCUUAUGCAAGCAGAAUGCUGCAAGGGAAGGGAUCUCCUCUUGCACACUGCAGAGCUGCCUCUGUGGACAUCAGGGCUGGGACCCGCGCUGCUGCCUGCACCCUCCAGGUGCUUCACCCCACAUCUGGCCUGGCUCUCCAGCUGGCUGCGCAAGGGGAUUUUGAGGGUUAGGCGAUUUUGAAGAAUCGGGGAUUUAGGAAGCAGCAGGAUGGAGUCAGAUGCACCGACUGCCUGCUGGACUCCGUCCUGGCCCCUCUGCAGGGCGGGAGCCUGUUCCCACGCACGUUAGAGCAUCUUCCUCUGGCUGAGGGCAUAAAAAUGGGCAUCAUCCGUGAGGGAGCACUGCCUGCACUGAAGGAAGGAAAGGCUGCCACAUCAAAUUUGAAGACUUCCUUGCAUCCUUCAGGGAAUACGUUGUCAGAGAGUUCUGGCCCGGAAAAUGUAGCUUGCGUCUGGGCAGGAGGUUUGGGGCAACCAUUUUAGGUGCUGCUUUUGUUUUAAUUCAGCAUGAAGUGAAGGGAAAACUGUGGAAUGGUCACCGCUACACGAAGAGGUGAUUACACGUGCAAUUGUGGAAGUGGAGCGUCUGUGUGUUCAGGCUCCUCUGGCUGCGAUGCUCACCCUGCAGCCUCUCUUCCUUGGCUGCCAUGGCUGGCAGGACCUGGCACGUUUGAUGUCGCCUUCCUCCGCUCUGGCUCUGCUUAGUCGCAUCCCUGAAUGUAAGAGGUGGUAUCAAGCCUCCUGUAACCCUGGGCAGAUUUAGUAGUCCCUGGUCCCAAGCAAUUUGAGCUAAAGGCACUUCAAGCAAAAAUCGUGUCCCUGAGAGUGCCCUUUGGAGUGACUUUUCCGAACAGCCAUGCCAAAGGCCACCCAAGGGCCGAGGACAAAGGUGCUUUGUGGCCAUUGAUCACGCUUUCCCCAAGGUCAGUGCCCCAGGAUCUAUCUUCCCAUCGCACUUUUAUGGGCUCUGUGCAGAGGGUGCCCUUGGCUUAUCACGAGGUCUAGUGGGGAUGGUGUCUCCCAGUCCUCAGGCAAAGCACUGGUGCCUCUGAGGCAGAAGAACUGCUGCCAGGGGGCAGGACAAGCCCAGGAUUGUGGGAAAAGCAGGCGUGGUACAGAGGAGCAGUGAUGCCAAUGCCAUACAACAGGGUCCCAGCAGUGUGAGGAGCCCAGGCAAGGCUGCCAGCAAGCGGUGCAGGAUGUUUGGUCCCUGGAGUCACUUCCACAUCAUGGCACUUCCUGCAGGGUUAGAAACUGUGCUGCGUGCUGUACGCACUGUUAGGCAGAGUUGCAGGGUUAGGGCAAUGGCUCAUGGGCUCCAUCCUUUCUCCUUGGUGGACACACAUGCCCACACCUGGUCCUGCCCAUGGGACACCACUCAUGGAACUGGCUGUGCUCUGCAGAUAAGCCUUCUGCUCGUGCCAGAGGCAGAGUUUUCCCCAGGAAUGUGUAUUUAUUAAAACUUCUGCCUCUGCUUAUAUGUCCACUUCCCUGUGUAUUCAGUGAUCCUCUUGGUGUUUAUGCUGCCCACUUUCUCCCUAUUGAUUUAUGACCUUAUUGUAAUCUCCCCAUUGUGUCUCUUCCCUCCUCCAGGCAGCACAGAGCAGGCAGCAGUCCUGGGCAUUUUUCCUUUCACCCUGCGUGUGUGCUGGUCCACCCCUCAGCCGUUUGCAGCAAUUUGAGAGAAGAAAGGCUGCUGCAGUGGCACACUUCAGCUGCAGACCAUUGCCCAUGGAAUCAAAUACUGAUGAAGCUGUGGUUUUCCCAGUUAGGAUGUUCUUGAAGGCAAUGAAGGUUCCCCAGCAGUGAUGGGGGCUUCUGUGAAUGCCUAUGAGAUGGGCGUCUGUGCCUCUCAAACCUAAGCACAUCUCUCCCUUCUUGGGUCUAGGGGCUUGUUUGUCGCUUUUUAUCAAAGCCACUUGCAAGUCUUUCUAUGUCUGGUUUUCCAACAGUCUUUAGAGACAGGCAGGAGCUGUUUAUUGCAUCUCUCCUUGGUUUCUCAUCCUUGGAUUGUGGGGGCUUGUGGCCUAUGUAGACAUGAUGUCUAAAGCUCAUGUCUGAAGUGAGAGAGCACGUCUGUGAGUCCCUGGGGAAGAAAGGUGGGUGUCUGGCUCAGCAGCAAUGUGGAAACCCCUUCUCAUGGGCUGUUUUUCUCUCCUGUCUUUUCUACAGCUUUGUGCAAUGCUCCUCCUGCACCUUCCCUCUGUCUCCCAGUGGAGAAGCCUUUGCGUUCUGGUCCCACGGCAGCUGCAGCUCCAUCUAGUCCUGGAGCACUGCACCACACCUAACACUGAAAGUUGCAGCCAACCAUAAAGCUCAUCCCUGCAGCUGAAAACGGGAGCUUUGAGCACCCCGUAUACCAAAGUGAUGCAUGAGCAUCUGCUCUGAGCUGGGGAAGAGUGAAGGAGUGCUGGGAGUUGCCUUUCCACAAGCACAGAGCUAAGGGGGCAUGGUUAUCUCAAAACCUCUAGAAACAUGGCCCUAAGUCCCAUGUCAUCAGGCCAGUACCUUAUUGGGAAGGACCUGUAGACCAUGCAGGGAAGCUGAUAUUCCCAUGUGGCAUCGUGCUGGAUUCUCAGACCCUGCUGGGCUGGAUGGGCAUCAUGCACCAUCUCCAUAGGUGGUCUUGUCAUGAUCCCGCUGCCUGGAAAUGUUCUCCUGGCGUGUACAAAAUGAGAAGGGAUUCCUGAGCAAGAGCCACUGUAAGGGCAGGGCUGUACUGUAAGUGUCGGUGUUGGGUGUUUUCCACAUAAUUUUUUUUCCUGGGGAACACAUGAAUGUCAGAGGAAAUUUUGUUUGUUUGUUUUUCCCCUGGAAGCAGACAGUUCCGCCUUUCCUUUUCCAAGCACAGCGCUGUCAGUACUCAGUGUAUCUGCCAGGCCAGCCUCAGCAGCCUCUCCAGCAGUAGCAUAUUUUUCUUCCAUUUGGGGAAAUUCUCUGAGAGCGGAGUCUCGAUGGCAGUGUUGAUUAAAGGGGAAAGUCCAUAUCUUCUGUGCGAGCGAGAGUUUCUGGGCACUGAGAAAACACUGAGUGAGUCUUCAGGAUGAGGGCACAGGGAGGAGAAAAUGGUUUAAUCUCUUGUUCUGGUUCCUAAAACUAUUCCCAGCCUCCUUGCCUCUCACAAACCUACCUGUACAUGAUUUCUUCCCUGGGCCUGCCCCGAUCCGAAUUUUCCCGUGGCUCUGUGUCUGCUGACAUGUACGUAUGGACUCAGAGUGAGGGUGGGAGGACCAGCUUGCCACCAGGUGCUUUGGAUUUCUUCCACACCUGCUCCAGGCUGAACACUUGCAGUGGCUCACACUGCCGGGAGGGGUGACUGAGGACCAAAGGGACAAUGACCUGGCUCCCGGGGACUUGUGGAAGCAGUGCAAAGUCUAAGGUGGCUGCUGUGUGCUGAGUUGUUUGGAAGUUCCAGGCACAGCAAAUGCUAAGCCUGUUGCCAAAAAUGUGGCCUCAUUGGAAGAUGCAAAGGAGAGCAUCCUCUGCUGCAAGAGGAUGGGCUCCACAAGACCCCUGCGGGCUACGUGCCAGGCUGCCUCCGGACUUACUGCCAGUGAGCAAGAGCAUCUCCUUUCUGGCAGGGGCGAGUGUCUGUAGCCUACAGCAGCCUCAGAUGAGCUCAGGUUAAACUCCUCACUCGAAACACAGGAGUUUCAGUUAAUCCUUGGUAAAGGUAAGAAGCUUUUGAAGGAAAAGGUGCAGAGAAACGAGCCUUGCAGCCUGGGAGUGGGACCAGGAGUCUCCUGGAUUCUUUAGGACCUCUGUUACUGGCUUCAUUCCCUUUCUCAAUUAAUGAGAAAGCCCAUGGAGAAGACCGCUCUGAAGAGCAGGAUGAGGGAUAAGUUAUGAUCAGAUUUGCCCACAAACUAUAAAGCUCGGCUGCUUCCACCCUUGCCACAGGAACGUGAGCUGUUUGAGUAGCACUUGUACCUGAACCAAAGCUGUGGCAGGAGGUGAGGAAGACUGAAUUUGCUGUAGGCUUGUAACCCUGUUUGCUUUUAACUUAGCCUAAAACCCAAGCAUGCAUGAAGAAAUCAGUUGUGCUGGUGCCUGAAGCAUAUUUAGAUUUUUUAAUUACUUAUUUUUAGUUUUAACCUCCCCAAAGCCUCAGUUCAGUCACUUCUAGGAGGAAGUUUGGGAAAACUGUGUGUUGCCCUGUUGAUGUGACCUGCCCGUGCCCUCACACAGGCUGGGCUGCACCUCUGGCACCUGCAGGUUCUUUGCACCUCUUGCAAGAAACAGGAGGCCAGAACAGAGGAGGUGAAGGUGAGGAUCCGCUAGUAAGCCUGUGGUUGUACUCAGGGCUGUGUGUGAAUUGCUGCUGGAGCUCCAUUGUCUUUGAUAUCUUCUCGUAUGUGCAGUGUGCAGAUUUUUACCUUCUUUAAUUUUGCCUUCAGCCUUGUGUUUGUCCAUCCAGGGAAGCCUGUCCUGAAAUCCAGACAUGACCACACGUGGCAGCCAAUGUUUGUCUUCUUCAUGUUACAGGUCUCCUCAGGGAAACGACCCCAUCACCUCAGAAAAUGUGGGGAACACGAGGGAGACAGAUGCCAAAACCUCUCCUUCUCCAAUUCAGCGAUUCUCAAAGGCAGCUGCAUCUCUGGAGUAGAAAGAGGAACAGCUGGAGAAAAAGAAAGGCCAAAUGAGAUGAUUCCAUUAGUAUUAUUUCAUCUCCCUGUUGAACAAGAGCCCAGAGCAGUCCCUUUGUCAGUGAAAUCCUCCUGUGUGCGGCUGUUUCACCAUCACAGGGCAGGGGCCACAAACAUGUGCAAGUCCUGGAGAGUUUUGCACUCUGGGAAGGACAAGAUGUCCCAGAAAAAUUGCCACAGGGGAUUUUUUGUCUCCUAAGCUAUCUGUUAUGGGGAACACUGAAGGAAACUGUGCUGAAAUGGAAGAUAAAACAAGGGUGCAUUGGACCCCAUACCUCCCCCCCCUUAGUGGUAAAGGGUGGAUGGUACCUCAGGAUAGCCUGUCAGGAAGGUAAGUUAAACAGUGUCUUAAACGAAUAACAGCAUCUUCCUUCCCUGCAUAAAAAGCUUUCCAGGUCCAAAUCAAACCCCAUUGUUUUACUGUUUCUUUUUUGAUUGUUUUUUCCCCAAUGAAUUCCAUGCUGCCACUUCAAAGGUAGGGGGGCAUGGAUGGUAUGACAGGGUGCUUCUCCCCCUUGACUGCCAAACAGCUGACCUCACAGGUGGUGUAGAAAGCAGCUCACCCUUCAAACAGCAGCAGCAAGGCACUGGCUCCACGUGGCAAGUUCAGUCUCAACUGCAAGGAGAGGCUGGCCCACACCAGACACCCUGGAGAUCUUUGGCCAAACGUGCAAGACGCACAUCUCCAGUGUGGGGCUCCUCGUGCCCUGGAAAUGACACGCUACACGUGCCCUCCCUCACCCACUGGCAGCACGGAACACUUCCAUCCCUCACUGCACACCUGGUCCAGCACUGCCAGACCCGAUGAUUUUUACUGCACGGAACAAUCUCAUUUGAAGAGCUGGGGUGGAAGGAGGGGAAGUCAAGCCUUCCAGUGGAUGCUGCGAGGAAAUAGUGCUAAAUUGACUCUAAUUGUUCAUUUAAACUAAUUAAAUUGCUGAACCCAAGGAAUUUUGAAAAGGUAGUUAGGACUCCUACCCUCCCUUCUCUCAAGAAUGUGUGCAGAGGGGUAGGUAGCCCCACGAAUUCCGGAUACAGACUUUCCUGCAGCCCUCUCUGAAGCUGCUGAUUGGUACCUGGCUUCAGGGGCAGGAGAUGCGAGGCCAGUCUGAUCUGCUCUGGCAAUUCCCUCAUCUCUAAGCAUCAUUUCCCCUCUUCUAGAAAACAAGCAUGUUUAGCAUUACACAGUUUCAGCAUCUGAGUUGCCUGACGGCUUUAAAAGGGAGUAAGCAUUCAUCCUGCUGACAUGGCAAUAAAACCAGUGCAUCUGGAAGAGAGGAGUCAGCAGCAGAUGUGCCCCUGCAAACUGCUCACUGUGAUGAAUGCUCCUCCCAGAUACUGCUAAUUCCUUUUCUCUUGCUCCUAGGCCUCCUUAAUUGUGCUCCCUGUGAUUAAAUAACUCUUUGAAGGCAUCACUAGAAGUUAUGUCUUCCAUGAGGGAAUGUCGCUUGCCAGGUCCAUAGCCUUUGGUUCUGGGCAUAGGGAGAUCAUUUUACAAGGCAGCUCGGGAGAGUGUCCAGGGUGCUCUGGUGACCCCAAAGUGCUCUGGGGAGAAGCUCCCACGGGACCAGGACCAGCCAGCUGCCUGGGCAGGACUUGGCAAGGAUACACCCGAUUGCCCCAGGUGAACCCAGGGAUGACAGAUUACCAGGAAGAUGCUGCUUCCCUGAUGUUGCUCCCUCUCCCAGCCACCCAGGAAGACCAAAGUGCAUGGGUUUGGGGAGGACAGGGGUGCCAUGGCUGGGGUGAUGUGUUAAAUCAGGCCAUCCUUCUGUGGGAAGAUGGAAGGUGGGUGCUGGUUUCCAGCCUUCACAGGCUUCCCUGCAAGCAUGGUACCCAAAGACUGUUUUUUCAAAGAAUCAUAGAAUCAUAGAUCCUCUUGGAUCAUCGAGUCCAACCAUUUCUAUCUGCCACUAAACCAUGUCCUCGCCACCUCGUCUACCCAUCUUUUAAACACCUCCAGGGAUGGUGACUCCACCCCCGCCCUGGGCAGCCUCUGCCAGUGCCCCAUGACCCCUUCUGUGAAUAAUUUUUUUCUGAUGUCCAGCCUGAACCUGCCCUGGCGCAGCUUGAGGCCAUUCCCCCUUGUCCUGUCCCCUGUCACCAGGGAGAAGAGCCCAGCUCCCUCCUCUCUACAACGUCCUUUCAGGCAGUUGUAGAGAGCAAUAAGGUCUCCCCUCAGCCUCCUCUACUCCAGGCUAAACAACCACAGGUCCCUCAGCCGCUCCUCGUCAGACUUGUUCUCCAGCCCCUCACCAGCUUCAUUGCUCUUCUCGGGACACGCUCCAAAGCCUCAACAUCCUUCUUGUGGUGAGGGGCCCAGAACUGAACACAGUACUCAAGGUGCGGUCUCACCAGUGCCGAGUCCAGGGGCAGAAUAACCUCCCUGGACGCGCUGGUCAUGCUGUUUCUGAUCCAAGCCAAGAUGCCAUUGGGCUUCUUGGCCACCUGGGCACACUGCUGGCUCACGAUCAGCCGCUGUCUUUCCACACCCCCAGGUCCUUCUCUUCCGUGCACCUCUCCAGCCGCUCUUCCCCCAGUCUGUAGCGCUGCAUAGGGUUGUUGUGCCCCAAGUGCAGGACCCGGCAUUUGGCCUUGUUAAACCUCACGCCAUCAGUCUCAGCCCAGCGGUCCAGCCUGUUCAGAUCCCUUUGGAGCCUCCCUACCCUCCAGCAGACCAGCGUUUCCACCCAGCUUAGUGUUGUCUGCAAAUUUACUUAGGGUGCAUUCAAUCCCCUCGUCCAGGUCAUUGAUAAAGACAUUGAACAGGGCUGAACCCAGCACUGAGCCCUGGGGGACGCCUGGACCGGCCUCCAGCUGGAGUUAACUCCGUUGACCACCACUCUCUGGUGGAGAGUGAAGUUAAUGGCAAAGUACCAGGUUCAUACAAGUCAUUGAUAAAGAUAUUGAAUAGAUUGAUAAAGAUAUGAAACAGGAUCUGUGGGAGGGAUGCAAAACCCCAACAGGGCUUCGAGAGUGUCCGAGAGGCUUUGCCAAAAUGCAGAUUAGAAGGGAUCUUAUUUUAUGGGUCCCUACACCCAGGAAAAAUACCAGACACAGGCAUUUCCUGCGGGACAGGCGCUGAAGCAGCUGGGAGCCAGCAGUGUCAGCGCUCCAUCUUCUGCACGCCACGCUGCUGCCACGCUCCCAAAGGCUCCCGGGGCUGGAUCUCAUCCCGCCCUGUCACUGCCCACCCUGGAGCUCCGGCUCAGUUUCCACGAGGCGGAGGAGUCAGGUCCCCGUAUAUAGAUACGAGCGAUUGCCUGAAUAUUCAUGUAUCGGCAGGCAAGCUACAGCAGGCCCUUGUUACAAACUGCUACCCAAACUGCUUACAUCCAUAAAUGAGGGAAAUAAAUAAAC